rnacentral:rRNA from 1 species
AAUGAACGCUGGCGGCGUGCUUAACACAUGCAAGUCGAGCGAGAAAGUCGACUUCGGUUGAUGAGUAAAGCGGCGAACGGGUGAGUAACACGUGGGUAACCUGCCUAGAAGUGGGGGAUAACCUGGGGAAACUCGGGCUAAUACCGCAUACGACCGCGGCACUGCGGUGCUGUGAGGAAAGCUGGUCAAUGCUUGCAAACUGGCGCUUUUAGAGGGGCCCGCGCCCGAUUAGGUAGUUGGUGAGGUAACGGCUCACCAAGCCGACGAUCGGUAGCCGGCCUGAGAGGGCGAUCGGCCACACUGGGACUGAGACACGGCCCAGACUCCUACGGGAGGCAGCAGUGGGGAAUAUUGGACAAUGGGGGCAACCCUGAUCCAGCAACGCCGUGUGGAGGACGAAGGUUUUCAGAUCGUAAACUCCUGUCAGUUGGGACGAAAAGCUGUCGGUCAAUAGCCGGCAGUCAUGACGGUACCAGCAGAGGAAGCCCCGGCUAACUCCGUG